rnacentral:rRNA from 1 species
UAAUACAUGCAAGUCGAGCGGACAGAAGGGAGCUUGCUCCCGGAUGUUAGCGGCGGACGGGUGAGUAACACGUGGGUAACCUGCCUGUAAGACUGGGAUAACUCCGGGAAACCGGAGCUAAUACCGGAUAGUUCCUUGAACCGCAUGGUUCAAGGAUGAAAGACGGUUUCGGCUGUCACUUACAGAUGGACCCGCGGCGCAUUAGCUAGUUGGUGAGGUAACGGCUCACCAAGGCGACGAUGCGUAGCCGACCUGAGAGGGUGAUCGGCCACACUGGGACUGAGACACGGCCCAGACUCCUACGGGAGGCAGCAGUAGGGAAUCUUCCGCAAUGGACGAAAGUCUGACGGAGCAACGCCGCGUGAGUGAUGAAGGUUUUCGGAUCGUAAAGCUCUGUUGUUAGGGAAGAACAAGUGCAAGAGUAACUGCUUGCACCUUGACGGUACCUAACCAGAAAGCCACGGCUAACUACGUGCCAGCAGCCGCGGUAAUAC